GUGUGCACAAAUAAUUUUUUUUCUUUCCUUUGCAGUUUGUAGCAAUUCAAAAGGGUCUUCGGUGCAUGGAGGCUGCCUCUGGGGAGAGAGCCACUACUACCUAUGACAGGCUCCCCUGGCCUACACUUUCAGUUUAGUAGGCUACAAAGAGGAAAGAGAAUUCUUCAAGAAGCUGAACAAAAAGCAAAGAAAGUAGCUGAGUACCCUUGACCUUUCCUGGAGUUACAUGUUGAAUAAGUAGAAUGAUUCAGAAAGCUGGCAAAGUGGAAAGACUAGAAAUCAAAACCAACCAUGGGUUUUUCCAUCUGGAAAAUAUGAAUUUGAACUUGCAGAAUAUAAACACCAUGUGAUUAGGUGUCUUUUGAAGCUUCCUCAUUCUAGGAUAAGGGAAAUGAGAUGGAAAAGAAGAUGCUUUGGAACAGAGUGGUAUAUUAAGGAAGCAUGUCUACUAUUUUAGCCAAAGAAAGGGAUCCAGAAUCUUCAUAAUGCAGCAGAUGUUCAAGUCCUCCCACUGACAACAUCCUCCCUCAGGUGCACCACUAAGAACUUUGUACACCUUCUGGCCUAGGACCUUCCUGAAGUCUUGCUAGCCAAAUAGACCUGUGUGCAACUGCAGCCGGCAAGUGCGGGUUUAAUGGUUCAGGGGCCAAACUAGG
rnacentral:lncRNA from 1 species